UUCAGUUCACUUUUGCUUAUCUUGCUCAGUCGGCCGAUGAUGCCUACUGGGUACCUGUUGUUUUGGUACUCAUGCUACGCUCUGCAUCUAUUUUGUGAUGCAGGUCCGAGCACUAGUAGCCAGCGUUGAUCUAGCCUGGAGUAGACUUAUCCGGAGACGGGGGUGAGCACACGGCGUUUUGUACUAUUUCAGUCUCCAUCUGUAUAUAUAGACUUGUCUUCUUCCUUUCGAGACAGUCCAGUCUCUGUUGUCCAGUUUUGGGACUUGUACUCAUUUUGUAGUAGCUCUGUACUAGUGACUUCCAGGUUCUGGGAGGGAUCUUUAUUUGUAUUUAUGUUUUUGGUUUGCUUCCGCCUGUUUAUAUUGUUAUUUGCCUACUCCUGUUUAAUUUCUACCCUCAGACCCAUUACUUGUUGUUCCGGGUUACGGGUUGGCUUACCUGCUGGUGGGUUAUAGUAGGUGCCAUCAUGACUUGAUAAAUCGAGUCGUGACAUGAACUUGGAAAGAGGGAAACAUACUUGCCUCAACUCAACCUCAACACAUGGAUACUCAACUUAAUACAGUAUAAAAACAACAAUAAAGAUGCAGUUUAUAUAAAGCACUUAAAAUAGUAGAUAAAAACUCAAUGUAUUUAAAACUACAAUAAUAACUCUUAUUUGUAUGGAAAUAUACAAAAUAACUCAAAUUGGAAGAUUCUCUAACCGACAACCAUCACUAUGAGCUAUGUGAUGAUACAGUUUCUCGCCAACGCUGCCAAAACUGUCCUAUACCUUGCUGGAGUAUAAGGCAUCCUCAACUAAGUUGAUCCACUAAAGUAUGCUUAAAAAACAAUAAAGAAUCAUCUAAAAAUUAUAACCCUUUCUACCUACGUUGGCUACAUGGUUUAUGAGCACUUUGAGUUGCAUGAUCUCAUCCACAUAUCGGUGUUCAAUACUACUCCCAAUAAUAUACUCAGCUCAUAUGUUUAAAAAUAUUUCCUCAUCCUAAAGCUUUGAGAUUAUUACUCAAAACUUCUCUUAAAAGAGAUUAUACACAAAAACUCCACAUGAACUCACUUGGAAAUCGAUGUUUCCUCUCAUUUUAAAUGUAAAAAACAUUUACUCUUGGGAAUACUUAGUUCCCAUAUAUUCAUUUGAAAAUGUAACUCAACUCUCCUAAUCCUCAAACUCAAGUCUUUAAACAAGUUUUAAAAGAUUGUGAAAGACUUCUCAAAAUGACUUGAAAGAACUCUCAAGACUUUAUUCUUAACUCUACCUUGAAUUUGAAUUACGAAUUCAAGGGUUCUGAUUCAUGUUAUGAAGGAACUCUCGAUGUUUAGAUGUAGUUUAGAGUAGUUAAAAUCAUAAAGGAGUAAAGGUACACCUUAAAAAGGGUGGGGGCAGGCGACCCUAGCGCACUGUUGGCGGGGGGCGUCAGCCCCUGAACUUCAUAGACGUAAUCUUGGCGCACUUCUGGCGUGCCACGCCAGACCUUCUGGUGUAUCUGGGGCGCGCCGCUCCAGCCUUUCCCCAGAUCAAUCUGAUGAUUUUUUCUUCUUGUUUUCUGACCAUAAUUCGACUAGUAUCGAUUGUUAUCCUCAAAUUUUGCUUAGAUGCAUUUAUCCAAUACAAGUACACAAGAAUCUACUCACUUUACCUCAAGAACAACCCUCAAAGAUCGAAAUCCUCAUCUCAAGAAUUCAUCAAACUCGAUAAGUAAAACAUGAAGAACAAAACCUCAAGAACAACCAUCAAGAAUUCAAAUCAUUCAACCUCAAGAACGAAAUUAAGGAUGUAAUUUACAUGAUUGGUGUGCGGGUGAACGAACCCACACUAUGAAAGCUUACAUACCUUAAUUUGGUGAAAUUCCUCGACAAAUAUCAAGAAUCUUGACGGACGCCUUGAACCUCUCCUCUUGAACUCCUCUCAAAACCCUAAGCGUAAUUUAGAGUUGUAAAAUCUAGCCCAAAUCAGUUUAGACCCCAAAAGUAUUACUAAAAAUGUUUAAAGCUGAUGGGGUAAGGAAAAGACGAAAAUAUCCCUCAUUAAUCGGGUAAAUUUCCUUGACUAGAAAUGCUGAUGUCAAACAAGCAUUUCUCCCUCAUUCGAAUUUGAAAUUUAGCAAACUUUGUGGCGUUGGAAAGAGGAUUCAAAGACCUUGCAUUUCAUAUCUUAUGGGACACCUAACUCAUCAUGUACUUAAAGUUAUGGUCAUUUUAAGUUGACUCAAACCUCACAACUUAAGCUUAACUUGAACAAAUCUCAAAUUAGCUCUUUCCAAAUUAGUUAUUUAUAAAUUUAGCUAUUUCUAAGGUGGGAUGUUACAAUAUAUCCCCCUUCCAAAUAUUUGUCCUCGAAUGAGAUUACUCUUAGUAGACUAAGGGUGGCAACAUCUAGCUAACACCCAACUCAAACACCCAACAUCCAGACUCAAAGAGAUGUGGGUAUCUCUUCUUCAUAUCCUCCUCAGCUUCCCAAGUAGCUUCCUCAAUAAACUGAUUCUUCCAUAAGACCUUGACUGAUGCUACCUCCUUGGUUCUCAACUUGCGAACUUGACGAUCAGGUAUCUCAAUGGGUACCUCCUCAUAAGAUAGGCAAUCCUUAAUACCAAUAUUUUCAGUAGGUAUAAUAAGUGAAGGAUCGCUAUCUUAUUUAAUAGUCUUUUAGAUAUCUAAACAGUUUUGUUGAACAAUUAUAGUUUGUCUUAGAUGUUUUUGCAUUGGUGACACAAAUUUUUGUGCAUUCUUGGUAUUUUCCAUACUUUAUAUAUGUUUUUAUGAAAGCUUGAUAUAUGACUUAUUACUCUAUAAUUUUAAUUUUCUUUGCUUUAUUAUUUAUUGUCGUUGUUGGCUGAAAGAUUGACUUAUCUACUUAUGGGUUAGGAUUAAAAAAUUAUGAUUUAUUUUCUUAUGAUUGUCGGAUAAAAGAAAUUUCAAUAAACAAGAAAUUAUUUGUCAAUUACAUGUUGUGCCACGAUUGUUAACUAUUAUUUGCUAUCAUUUUCACUACAAUAAUUACAAUCUUCCUUUAGUUUUAAAUUCCUUGAUCAAUCAAACAACUUCAUAUUAAUUGAAACGUAUGAAGUAUAAAUCGUCUAACUCUCAGAAGACUAAUAUUGCAAUGCUAAUUGUGAUUAGUAAAUAAAAUUUAUAAACACUGUCAAUCAAGAAAGUUAAUUUUCAUUCACCAUUUGAUAGCUUCCACACCUAAUUUUUUUUCUAAUACAUAACUUUUUAUUAACAGUACGAAAUCUCAAUAUUUAGAAAGAUAUCAUCAUAUAUUAUUAGAAGUGGGAAGCUCUAAAGUGAAAAGUUGAAUUAUUAUUUUGACCUUCUACUAAAUUAAAAUUUGAUUAAUUAUUUAAUUAAAUACAAUUAUUUUAAUUACAUAAUGAUAUAAUUUGAAGUCCUUAAGCCCUUUAAUAAUUAAAUUAUUAUUUUCUUGAUAAAUGAGUACAUUGAUAUUUCUUUUAAUCAUAACUAUGAAUCUCAUAACGGAAAAAUUUGCAAAGUUAUGAUUGAUAAAAUAAUUUAACCGAAUUUUUUUCUUCUAAAAUAGCUACAUUUUCUCUUCUAAAUAAACUCUAUUGUUUAAUAUUGAAGUAAAAAAUUUGAAGAGGUGUCAUUAAUUAAAAAAAUUAUACAUAAAAGUUUCAUCUAUAAUGAUUCACUUAGAUGGUCAUAUUUGUACUAAGUGUAUUCAUCCUAAUUUGAUUCUUCUUUGCUAAUAAAAGAUAUUUUUGUUCGGUCAUUUAUAUAAGUUGUUUUCUGUUAUGUUUGUAUAGUACUUUUGGCUGGAAUUGUAACAAUUUGAAGGUUGCUUGUUGUAUUUUGGUAUAUUCAAUGAAUUCUUCAAAAAGGUACAUAAAAAACAAAGUCAACAUGUAAUGUUAUAACAUUUUGUUUAAUUUUUAUUUAUUUAUUUUCAAUUGAAGGACGGUGCACAAAUCGAUGUACCAAUUCUUUCUUGGGUAAUCGAUUGUAUAUAAGAAAGAACAAUUUUCUGUAUAAGAUGACAUUCAUCUAUGUGCCUGUGAUGUAAUUUUUUAUUUUUUUAGAGAUUUAAGAUUUUUAUUCUUUACAACAAGUUGGGUUGGGUAUGAUUGUGGUAAUUGAAUAACUGAUAAUUUGUGAAUGUGAUGUUCAUUUUUAUAAAUUAUCAUUCUUACUAUAGUUACUUCAUAAACCAUCUCUUAUUUAUAUAUGAAAUGAAAAUCAAUUCAUAUGGCAUUUGUAACUACAUACUCUCAAUUCAGAAGAGUAAGAAUUGAAGAAAAUGUUGAAGUAAAAAGAAGAAAAGACGCAAUAUUACUGAUGCAUUUUGCAUCUUCAUUAUAUUGUAUAACUAAAAUUUUAUUGUUCUAUGAAAUUUUAAAACUUAUUUCUUUAGGUAUUUUGUGCAGAAAAACAAGUAUUAGCAUUUAUUAAUUUUUUUUAGCAAAUUUUAUGUAAUAUGGAACAUGAAAUUGAGAUUGUUCUUCUUAUUUGCUUAUAAAGUGAUUUUAUUAUGACUGAACUAACCAUGAUACUGUUACAUAUAUUUCUUUGUAGAUAUAUUCCAUAAAAUUCAUAAUGAUUUAUUAGCCAUCAUAAGAAGAUAUAUGUUGUUCGAAUCUCUAUACUACUUACAAAAAAAAAAAUUCAACAAGUUCUCAAGGAAUCAACUUGCAAAUUCAUAACUAUUACAUAUUUCUUUCUCGACAUUAGCUAAGUCUUUUUCAAAGUUUAUGGCUAUUGAUUAACACUCUUGCCGAAAUUUGCUUGAUGACAAAAAACAGGAAAAAAGUGAAUUGCAUCCUUACAAGAAAAAAAAAUUAAUUAGUUUAAAUUGCUCCAACACACUUUUCUAUUGCAAUUUUUUUGAUGAGUACAAAAUUUUAAUACAAAAGUUUAAGAUAACAUUAGUGCAAAUAUUUGUCCUGUCAUCUAUAUUAAAACUUUCACACUUGCCUUGGAAAUAUCAUUUUCUUCUAAGAACGGAAGCCGUUAUUCUAUCUUAAUUACAUAUCCAAUUCUUAGAUGUAUUAAUCAGAUUAACUGAUUAAAAAUAUUGAAUAAUUUACACUAAAUGUACGGUUCAUCCAAUUACAAUGAGAAAGAUUUAUAUACACUAGACAUGAUGUGCAUAACUCUUAAAAAAAUAAAAUAGAUGCUUAUGACAAACAUUAUCUUAUCUCUGGGAGAUAAGCAGUAUGAUGACUUUUUAAUUAUAUUUUAUAACCCCUAAAAAUUUCUAAUAAAAAUUUAUGCAAGGAAAAAAUUGUUAUUUUUAGAUAGAAAAAUAUAUUGUCAAGCAGGCCUAAACGUGCCCAGAAACUAGUUUAAAAAAAAUCUUGAAAUUAAAAAUCUAACACCAAAUUCAACAAAAGUCAAUUAAUUUUGUAUUAUCUAUAUAUUGUCUUAUAUGAGUUUAGUUACGACUUACGACCCAGAUAAGAACGAAAUCAUGACACAUUUAAAUUACCACAAUCUAUAAUAUAACAGUUUUUAUGCUAUAAGUGAUCUUAUAUGUGCAAGGUUUUUCACUAAAACCCCUCAAAUAGUUUCUUAAUUUGUUCAUCCAAAUUUCAAAUUUACAAUUUACAAAAGGUUGUUACAAAUAUUUUUUCAUAUAAGCGCUUUGAUUUUCCCCUGUAUAUGUAUGUAACUUGCUCUUAAUAAGACUUUUACUACUGUUAUCUAAGGAUUUGUUUGUUCAGUAUUGAUAUUCAUCAAGCUUGUCAAAAUUAAAUCAACAAUGACAAACUAUAUUUUCAUUUAAGCGCUUUGAUUUGCCCCUAUAUAUAUGUAUCUCAGUCUUAAUAAGCCUUUUACCACUGUUCUCUAAGGAUUUGUUUGUUCAGUAUUGAUAUCCAUCAAACUAGUUUUGAUGCAUGUGUGUUGCACAUGAAUAUUAAUCCAUGUACUACACUAUUUUUAAAAAUAAUGUCAAUAUUAUUAAAUAAAAAAAUUAAAUAAAUAGUUAUCAAUAGAAUGAUGAAGUAUAAGUUCCUGUGAAUAGUGGAUGUAAACUUUCUUAUGAUUACUACUAAAAGUUGUCAUAUCAACAUCCGAUAAACACAUAUAACUAUUUAUAAUAUAAAUCUAGAUAUAGAUAAGAUGAUCAGACAUUUCUCUUUGGCCUCCAAUUAAAUUUAUUUUUUUCCUAUUUAUUUUUUUUAAAAAAUUAAAAUUAAUUGUAAUAUGUAAAAUAAAAAAGUCAGUCUUAAAAUCUCUUAUUUACACCUCUUAAAUAUGUUUUCUCCUCCCUCCCCUAUAGUGCAUUACUUAUUUAUAAUAUAUUAUUGUAUUGUUGGAGUUCUUACUUUUAAUAAAGUAAUGGCAAGUGCGUUGCACAUGUGUAUCAUAUAAUAUACUAUACGAUGUUGUAAAAUAGAAUUAAUAGAACUAAAUUAAUUUUUUUAGUAAAUAAUUAUAAUUAAAAAAAUAUUGGAUAAGUGCUUUUAAAUGAUUAAUACACAUUGUCAUAGAGCUAAUUGUUUUUGAGACCAAAAUGACCAGAUAUUAUUGAAACAUUUCAAAAUACAUUUAAAUUUAAAUACGGAAAAAAGUGACAUUUCUUUAGUAGUAUUUUUUUUUACUUUACUAAAUUUUGUAAAUAUAUUUAAACAACAAAUUAGAAAAAAAUAUCAAUAUAAAAAGGUCACCAAUGUAACACCCCGAAAAUUCUACCUCGAAUCAAACCUUGCAAAUUUUCUGCAGUCUGGUGCCACGAAAGGCAUCUACCACCCGUAGAGGUAUCUACGAGCCGUAGGUGGGUCUAUGGAAUCAUGCUCUUGAAAAUUGGUUUUCAGGUCCAAAGUUCACGAGACAACCUAUGGGUCGUAGAAACAUCUACGAUCUAUAAAAGGGCCUUGUGGAAACCAAGUUUGAUAAUGUAACAUCCGACAAUUUGAAAUAGCUAAGAAGAGGCUUGGAAUUUGAAAAUUUUCAUUUUUUGGAAAGAAUUUGAAACUAUGGAAAAAAAAUUUUUGGCUGUGGAAAAAAAUGAAUUUUUGGACAACUUUUAGCAGUCAUAACUUCCAGCUCAGGAUGAUUUAGGAGUAGUUCCAGUUAUGUUUGUGAAGCUUGUGGAAUGAUCUUUCCAACGCCGCCGAGUUUGCUCAAUUCCGAGUUCGUAUGAGCGAGUUAUGGCCAUUGAAAGUUGGGCAGUUGGCAGCGAAUCCGUCCGGAAAAUUAAGGGCAUUUUAGUCUUUUCCCUAGCCAAUUCUUUUGGGAUUAUAUUGUUGUAUAGGUCUGAUCCUUGGAUCAUUUUGUCCCAUUUUAAGAGAUUAAAAAGCUAGGGCUUGAGAGUGAAGAAGAGAAGAAAGAGAAGAAGGAGAAGAAGAAGAGAAAAAUCGAGGACAUUAACAAGUUUCCGACAAGAUUAUCGUGGAAUUUCGUCGGGGGUGAUCCCUAUCAAGGUAUGUGAGUAGUAAGUGUGGGUUGAUCCCUUUCCCCCACACACCUAGCCCCUUUUAUUAAUUGAGAAAGGAUUGGUUAUGUUGUUAAAGUUGUUAGUUGUUGUUGUUGAAGUUGUUGGAGUUGUUAAAGUAGUUAGUUGUUGUUGUUGAAAUUAUUGUUGGUGGUGGGACAUGAUUGGGUUGUGUAUUUGUGUUGUAAUCUAGUGUAUGUUGAGAGUUUGAUGAUCCUUAGUGUUUGGGGUUAAAUCCAUUGGAGUAAAGAUGGUUUAGAGUUGAAGAAAAAGGGAAGAAAAGUCGAGUUUCUGGGCAAGGGGGUUGGCGCGUCGCGCCUGCUAGCGCACCCCAAAGGGGACUCUGAAGUCCAGCCCUUAGGGCGGCGCACCACUCAGAGUGCCAGCAGGUGCCCUCUGAACUUCAAGGGCUGGCGCUCCGCGCCUUGCAGAGCGCCAAGGACGCCAUGCUCUCCCUUUCUUUCCACACUUUCUCAUGCAUGUUCCUAGGUAUUAUACCUAUGUUUCUAAGUUGUUUCCAACACUUCAAGUUGCGUUUAAAUGUCAAGAAUUCAUCCGUAAAUGUGUGAUCAUAUGCCUUGAAUCCAUAAUUCAAUUCAAGUUGAGUUCAUGUCAAGGUUAAAGGGAAGUUAGAGUCAAGUCAAGCAAGGUUAAGAAGUAAGUUCAAGCAAGUUUUCAAAGUUGUUCAAGAGUCUUUAUUGAACGUUUUCACUUCAUUCUAAAGCUCAAGUUGCAAGACAAGUAAAGAGUAAAGAGUCUAGAGUUUUUAAGUUGAGUAAAGGUUUCAAAGUUGAGUUCAUUUCUCAAAGUUAUUAGGGAACUAUGUAUUCCCAAGGAAGUUUUAAAGAAAUGUUUUUACAUUUAAACAAGGUUGGAAACUGAGAUUUCCAAAAGAGCCUUCGGGCUAGUUUUUGAGUAAUUAUCUCAUGUCAGCAGGAAGAAAUAUGUUUUUUAAAAAACAUAAGAGCCAGUACAUUUUUGGGAGUAGUAUCGAGCACCGAAUUGGGGGAGCCUUCAAAGAACCCACAGCCCCCAUAGAACCAUGUUAGCCACCAUGGGUAGAAAAGGAUCAUACUUUUUAGAUGAAUCCUUUUCAAAUUAGACUGAUGGAUCCAUUAGGCAGUUCAGGUCCUAUACCUUUGGCAGGGAAUAAAAUGCUCUGGCAGCGUGAGGUCGAUCGUUGUAUCAUCACUAUAGCUCUUAUGUGAUGGUUGUCGGUUAGAGAAACUCCCACAGCAGUUAUUGUAUUUUCAUACACAGAAAGUAUUGUAUUUUUAUAUACAUCAGUUCAUUUGUAUUUCUAUAUACAUCUGAGGCUUAUUGUAUCUUUGUAUACACACAAGGUUUAUAGCAUGUUUUAAGCAGCCUUUCUUUAUAUCGCACUUAUUUUAAAUUUCCUUAUAUUGAAAGAAGUCAGUCAGGUUGAUUUGAGUUGAGCAGGUAAGCUUUUCAGUGUCUUCCAGAUCUCCUGCUAGCCUUUGUUGUUUAGUUCCAGCUCGCAUACUCGUACAUUCCAUGUACUGAUGCCAGUUGGUCUGCAUCGUUUUAUGAUGCAGACGCAGGUACCCAGGAUCAGCAUCCAGCAUGCUGUGAUCCAGUUGAGCACUCCAUUGUCAGUGGUGAGCCUCCUUGCUUCCGGAGGACUCGGUUAUUUUGAUUAUCUUAGUUUUGUUCUAGUAGGAUGUUGUGGGUCUGUCCAACAUCCAUCUCAGUACUUUAGAGGCUUCAUAGACAGUCAGUCAGUCAGUUAGUUUUUGAGUCUCCCAUCUAUGUAUAUAUGUAAAUAUUCUAUUUUGAGACUCGAGUACCUUUUUUGGCCAGAUAUGUAUCAUUUAAGUUGUUUAUGUCUUUGCAUGGCAUUGAGUUAUUCUGUUGAGUAGGUUUCCGCUGAGUUAAGAAAGCCAGGCCAAGGGUUCGCUUGGGGCCAGCAAUGGUCUCCGAGUGCCGGUCCCGCCCAGGGUGUAGGCUCGGGGCAUGACAGAUAACACUCCCAGUAAAAUUUCUACGGACGAGCAUGACGACUCGUCAAAAUUCUUACGGACCGUAGAAAGGGUCCGCAAAUCAGGAAAACUUAGCAUGUUCCUAUGAGAGGGUCUACGACCCUUAGACUUUUGUACGGACCAUAUAUGGCUUCUGUCACACCCCUUUUUCGCACGUCAAAAAGGAUUUUCCAAUUUUAAGUUACGGUAUUGAGUAGGGAUUAUUUUUAUUUUUCAGAGUCGCCACUUGGAAUUGAGUUAUGGUGUUAAUCUCUAAUCAAAAGGAAAUGACUCAUUGUUUGAUCUGCGAACUAGAAAUUCAGGUAAGAAAUUUUGUUGUCUGAGGGGAAGGUAUUAGGCAUCCCUCGAGUCCUGUGGUUCUAGCACAAUCGCUUUUAUUAACGAGGCACCCCGGUCUGAACAUGCCAGGUUGGUUGACAAACCCAAGGGCAAAGCCAGGGGAGGAGGGGGCAGCCGGAAAGGAUAGUUCCUGAGGUUCUAGAAAAAAAUAAACAGGAGUGUGGUUACAUACAAACUUAUACUUAUUUUAACGAUCUUUUAGAUAUAUAUAUUUAUAGGUCAUGAUUUGCUCGCAUUUUUUAUUUGUUGAACUUUUAUUUGGUCUCGACCUAGAUACGUAACCGCAUUCUUGAUCUUGACAUUUAGAGACAUAACUAUCUUCUUUGCAUCACACUAAAUAAUUUUUUGUCUAUAAGUCUCUACAUUAAAUUAAAGAAAGUUAAUUAUAAUUUUGAACAAGGUGCGUCAUUGAAUCCUUGAGUUUAUCUUCAUAUUUCAAGAAAAAGAUGUGUAGCCACAUUCUUAAUCGAAAGAAAUAUUUUUUACAGGUCGUAUAUCCUAAUAUUUACCUAUUGCUAGAAAGCUUAAAUGGAUUAUUAAUGAUUAAAUUACUUUUUACUGUUUAUAUUCAUGAAUACUAUUUACAUAAUAAAAUUCAAAAUCUUAAACAAACAAAGAGUUUUUUUUUCAUAUUCAAAUUUGAUGUAGAUGCACUUACAUUUUUCGUAUACUUACAAGUUAUGCAAAAAGACAAUUAAAAUAAAAAAUAAAAAUCUGUAACUCUUCAUCUUUUAAUUUUUCUAAAAUAAACAUUUUUUAACAUUAGAUAAAGUUGACUAAACAAACUAUUAGAAUAAUUCUCUCAGACAUUUAGUUGAUUUUGGUUGGACAUAAGAGAUACUUAAUUGAUAACAUCAUAUGGUAUAAGAUGAAAAAUAAUGUAUAAUAGAAUAAAUAGGAAAUAUUUCAAUAUUAUUGUGUCAAAAUUAAACACACAUAAAAUUCGAGAAAAUUUCAUAACAUUGGAAUCAAGUAUUAUAUAAUCAUAAAAAUCAAAAUAUACAAUAAAAAUUAAACGGUACCUCUUGCAAAAAUUCAAUUCACAAAAAGGAAACAAUUCUAAUAAGGAACCACGAAGGUGAACCUCGACUCAACCUUUGUUUGUAAAUAGAAUGAAUAUAUAUAUUUAUAUUUAUAUAUAUGUAUGUGUGUGUGUGUGUGUGUGAGGGUGAAUAUUUUUUCUUCCCGUAUCUAGGUAGUAUUUUAGUGUUGUGUGUGAGUUGUUUUUUUUCCUUUUUCUGUGGAUCUGUGAGUAUGUUUGCUGAUUUUUUUUCUUUUUCAGAGGAUACAUGAUUGGAGGGAGUGAUUGGAGGGGACAUCAAUACUGAGUUUUUGAUGUCCUCUCUCAGUCCAGAUAUAAAGAGGUGAAGCAUAAGACUAUCAGAAAUACCAUCAGUCUCAUUUGCGAUGGCUUCAAACCAUCCUUGCAGAUCUGAGACUGUGGUAACUUGUCGGAGUUUUGCCAAUCUUCCCUCCGCCGACUCCAAACCCGUCUGUUUGAACCGGAUUCACACCUUUUCAGCAAAAUGUGGCCAAUCAACUAAUUGCUUGUUCCUAACAACCAUAUGUACCAUUCCAGUGCUUCGCCGUCGAGAAAAAAUGAUGCCAUGGUCAGCCUCUGAUCUUCCUCAAUUCUAUAAAAAUCAAAGUAUUGUUUCGCUUGGAAUAUCCAAGCCUCCAAGUUGUCACCACGAAAUCGACCCAAUUCCACUAAAGCAGGUUUGUUCCUGGGUAUGGUGGUUGUUGGUAGAUGUUCCUAUCGAGUUAUCUAGCUCCAUGGUCGGUUCAUGACGAUGUGUCCCUAAUAAGUUUAAGAACAAGAGGAGUUCGAGAAAAUAAGAGCAGAUUGAUUGUUAUGCCGUUUGUACCUUUUAUUUAUAGACUUUGUACAUGUUUAUGAUUAAUAUAAGAAUCUUUAUCUACUACGUAUUCUAAAGGAACAGUAAUCCUUUUGUUACAAUGAAUAAGCUACAAUAAUCGAAUUCUCGUUAAUACUGGACUUUAAUAGCCCCCUGCAAGAUCAUGUUCUGGAGAGAACCAUGAGCUUGGAUCGAAGAUUGAGGACCGACUUGUGCCAACCACUUUGGUAAAGAUAACUGCAAUCUGAUUUUGAGAUGAAACAUAGAGAACCACUAAAGAUUGAUCUUCAACCAUCUCUUGGAUAAAGUGAUAAUCAAGACGAAUAUGCUUUGAUCGUUGAUGAAUGACAGGAUUCCGAGAUAAAAAUGGUGCACUAAGAUUAUCACAAAGGAAUAUGGGAGGUGGAGUGAGAGGAGCACGUAGUUCACUGAUAAGCUGUUGCAAAGGCUAAAGCAUGAUACUCAGCUUCAAUACUUGAGCGGGCGAUAGCCUUUUGUUUUCGCGAAGACCAACUGAUUAAGUUACCUCCUUAGAAUAGUGCAAACCCAUGUUGGAAGUGACUAUCAUCAAGAUCAGAGAUCCAACCAGCAUCCUAAAUGGCCAUAAGACUAGAAUCAGGCAUAGAUCGUAGUAAGAGGCCAUCAUGAAUGGAUCAUUUUAGAUAUCGAAAUGUGUGUUUGACAGCUAACCAAUGAGAAAUAGUAGGUGAUUGCAUAAAUUGGCAUACUCGAUUGACUGCGUAGGAUAUUUUUGGCCUAGUGAUGCUAACAUAUUGAAGAGCAGCAACGACACUACGAUAUAAAUGAGCAUCAGACAGAGGAUCACCAGAAAGAAUAAGUCGUGAUCCAUGUUCAAUCAGACUAGAAAUAAGCUUAGCAUCAACCAUGUUUGUUCGACGAAGUAAGUCACGAAUAUACUUGCCUUGAGAUAAAAUGAUCCCAUUUGAUGUUGGAGAGAUUUCACUACCAAGAAAAUAAUUUAAGGAACCAAGAUCUUUGAGAGAGAAUUGCUUAUCAAGAGUGUGAAUAAAUGUAGCGAUGAAAUCACUAUCACUACCAGUUAUAAUAAGGUCAUCCACAUAGACAAGAACAUAUGUUGUAUGCUUAGAAGCUUGCUGCACAAAAAAAGAAAAGAGUCAGAUAAACAAGAGCGGAAGCCAAUGUCGAGGAGAAAAACCUUUAACUUAUUGAACCAAGCACGUGGUGCUUGUUUGAGGCCAUAAAAGGCCUUGUUCAAUUUGCAUACGAAAUGUGGCUGAUGAGCAUCAACGAAUACUUUUGGUUGCUCCAUAAACACUUUCUCAUAAAGAUUACCAUUUAAGAGCGCAUUGUUGAUAUCAAGUUGCCAAACAGACCACUUGUUUGUCAUAGCUAAAGACAAGAUUAGUGGAACAAUUGUGAGCUUAAUGACGGGACUAAAAGUAUCAAAGUAAUCAACACCCUCCUCUUGGUGAAAGCCUUUAGCUACAAGACGAGCUUUGUGACGUUCAAUUGGUCCAUCGAUUUUCCUCUUAAUCGUGUAGACCCAUUUACAACCAACAAUCGUAGAGUUAGACGGUGGUGGAACUAAUGUCCAUGUCUUAUUUCUCAUAAGAGCUAAAACUUUUGUUUGCAUAGCAUGGUGCCACUCAGGAAAUUUGGAGGCUUGAUGAUAAGGUGUAGGUUCUGGAAUGUGAUAGGGAUCAGGAGGUAGUGAAUGUCGAGAUGUUAUAAGAGGUUUUGGUUUUAGGGAAUUAAUUUUACUUCGAACAACCAUAUGAUGGAGAGAGGUGUCCGAGGGGAGAAAAUAGGAAGGAGCUGUGGUCGGGUAAGAGGAAUUAGUAGAUGGUGGUAGAUGCUCAGGUGGGUAAGUGAUUGGUACAUGCUCUAUUUGUGGAAGAGCCAGAGGGGGGUACAGUAGAGGGCGCGUUUGUAUGAUUAGGUUGCUCAGAUGAAGGGAUAGAUGAUGCAACUGGAAUAUUUGAUAAUGACCUUGGAGCGAUAGAGUGUGUAGGAGAAUGUGAACGCACUUGUUGAGAAGCUUGAUCAAGUAAAGAGAAAGAUGUAUUGCUAAGAAUGUGACGAGGGACAAGAGGAUUUUGGGAUCGGUAACAUGGAGGAAUAAGGGAAAGUAUUUUCAUCAAAUACAAUGUGGCGAGUAAUAUAGAUUUGAGAGGAUGCAACAUGAUAACAUAGGUAACCUUUGUGAAGAGAACUAUACCCGAUAAAGACACAAGGAAGAGAUCGAAAAUCAACUUUAUGAUGAUUAUAGGGUCGAAGAAACGGAUAACAAAGGUAACCAAAUUUUUUAAGAAAACCAUAAUCAGGAGAACUUUUGUAAAGUAAUUGAUAUGGCGAUUUGUAAGACAAAGAAGAAGAUAUGGUAAUAUUGGAUAAGUAUGUAGCAGUGUAAAAAACAUGCUCCUAAAAUUGGAAAGGAAGAGAAGCAUGAGAAAGAACAGCGAGUCCUUUUUCAAUUAUAAUUCGAUUUCAGCGUUCCGAUGCACUAUUUUGUUGAGGUGUAUAAGGACAAGAGAUACGAUGAUGAAUACCAUGAUUUUGUAAAAAAGAUGAUACAUUUCGGUACUCACCUCCCCAAUCAGUUUGGACUGAUUUUAUUUUAGUUCCAAACUGCAUUUCAAUUAAAGCCUAACAUUGAGUGAAAAGUGGAAAGACUUGUGAUUUACGUGACAUGAAAUAUAUCCAAAUAAAUUUGGUGCAAUCAUCAAUAAAUAAAACAAAGUUGGAAGAUCCAUUAAUAGAAUAAACGGGUGAAGGUCCCCAAACAUCUGAAUAAAUUAAUUGAAAAGGACUACUGCUAGAAACAUGAGAAUGAGAAAAGGGUAAGCGUCUACUCUUUCCUAGUUGACAAGGUUCACAAACAGUAGGAAAUUCAGAACUAGAAAUAGAGAGCCUAAAAUUAGACACAAACCGCCGAAGUAGAGCUUCAUUUGGAUGAGCCAGUCGACGAUGCCAAUCAACAAGAGAAGUGUGUUCACCAAGAAAUAUUGUAGGUGGGUGUCACGCCCCGAGCCUACACCGUGGGAGGGACUGGCACUCGAGAACCAUUGCUAACCCAAGCGAACCCCUGGCCUGGCUUACUUACUCAGCAAAAGACCUAAACUCAACAAAAAAAUAGGUUUAUAUAAUAAACUAGAAUGUUAUAAAAGAACAUUCAACUGGCCAUUAAGGCAAACUCAAGUCUUAACAUGGAAUAAUGAAAAUUAAAAGACUAAAGAACUAACAUCUGACUAUCUAUGAAUCCUCUAAGACAACUGAGAUGGAUGUCAGGACAGAACCCCCGAUUAUCCUAACAAAUGAAGUAUUGAAAAGAAUUAAAAUCAAAUAAAUGAGUCCUCCGAAAUGCAAGGAGGCUCACCACUGACUUGGAAGUGCUCAACUGGAUCAACGGUGCGCGGAAUGCCGAUCCUAGUUACCUGUAUCUACAUCAUAAGACGAUGCAGGCCAACUGGCAUUAGUACAUUGAAUGUACGAGUAUGCGAGUUGGAAUGCUAAAACAACAUAGGCUUGAGAAGAAUCUAAAAGAAACUUAAGAACUUAUCUAGAUAAACUCAACUCAACAUAACUGAACUCAUUUCAAUAUAAGGCAGUUUAAAACAAGUGCAAUAUAAAGAAAAGUUGUUUAAAAACAUCAUGUCAACUCUGUGUGUAUGCAAGGAUACAACAAAACUCUAAAAUGUAUGUGAAAAUACAAUAAACUGUGUAUAUAAGAAUACAAUUACUGUUGUGGGAGGUUCUCUAAUCGACAACCAUCACGUAAGAGAUAUUGUGAUGAUAUAGUGUUUUGUCUCACGCUGCCAGGGCCGUCCUAUACCUUGCCGAGGGUAUAGAACCUUAACUACUAAGUGGAUCCACUAGUCUACGCUAAAAAUCACUAAGGGUUCAUCUAAAAAGUAUGACCCUUUUCUACCCAUGAUGGCUAUAUGGUUUAUAUGGGUUGUGGGUUCUCUGAACGCUCCCUCAUAUCGGUGAUCAAUACUACUCCCAAGAUAUGAUAUGAUAUUAGCUCUUAUAUUUAUUUUUUUAAAAAAAACUUCUUCUGUGAAUUGAGAUUAGUGAUCAAAAACAUAGCUCAAAGGCUAUCUUGGAAAUCAAAGUUUCCCUUCUUGCUUCAUUUAGAAAGCAAUUUCUCUUUUCUGAAAACUAGCCCGAAAGCCCUUUGGAAAUUGAGGUUUCUUUUCUUGUUUAAAUGUGAAAACAUUUUAAACCCUUUGGGAAUACAUAGUCUCCAUAUACUUUUCAAGAAAUGAACUUCAAGCUUUACGCUUUACUGAACUCAAAACUUAAGUCUUAAAACAAAGUUAAAACGUUUGCAAAAGACUUUUGGGGAACUUUAAGAACUUCUCUAGACUUUGAUCUUAACUGCUCUUGACUUGACUCUUAACUGGUCAUUAAAUUGAAUUAUGGAUUUAAGGAUUUUGAUUUGUGAUAGGAAGGAUCACAUGAUGUUUAGGAAUGAUCUUAAAUAGCUAAACAUGAGAAAAGUCACGAAAUCACCGUCUUGGAACAAGUCCGUGACGCGAAGGUGUUUUAAAUAAUUGCUCGCGAAAUUAAAUUUUGAGAUAGAGGAGUCCGCAUCUUAACCGCGACGCGGAGAAACUCUUUGGUCACUGGGGGGCCAAGUCUGCGACGCGGACUUGAGUGCCAGAUCACUCUCGACUUUUUCCUUCUCCCUUUUACAACCCCAAUUCGCCUAAACUCGACUAUCAUCCUCAAAUCCAUUUUAGAUUUUGAUACUUAGCAUAUGUACUCAAGAAUCUAACUCAAAACAACUCUAAAACUCAACGUAAAGAUCUCAGAAACUCCUCAAUUCAGCCCAAUUCAAGAACAACAUUCAAAUUCAAGAAUACAUGUCAAGAACAUCAAAUUUCAAACUCUUUUAGGAAGAAUUUCGAUGAACUAAACAUGUUUGGCGCGUGGGUGAAUGAACCCAAUGCUAUGAAAGACUCACAUACCUUGUAAGAUGAAUUCCUGGGCGAAUCCACAACCAAAAUCGAUUGUUCUUGGCGAACCUUGAGCUUUUCCUUUCCUUUCUCCUCUUUUUCUCUUUUCUCCAAGCCCUAGCGUGAAUAUCCAAUUGACUAAACUGAUCUCAUUCUGAUUUGACCCUUUAAUUAAUUCCCUAAAAUGAAUUAAAUUAAUUGGGUAAGGAAAAGACUAAUCUACCCUUCAAAAAUCCGGAUUAGACUUUCCUUAACCGCACAACCCAACUUCCAAAGAGCAUAACUCACUGAUACAAACUCGGAAUCGUGCAAACUCGGCGGCGUUGGAAAGAUAAUUCCAAGAGAUUUCCAACCAUAUCUGUAAGUACACCUAAAUAUUCUGGAGCAAGGAGUAUUGUCCAUUUGAAGUUGACCAAAACUAAAUUUUUUCUAACUUAAACAAAUUUUCCAGAUUUUCAUUCUUUCCAAAAAUGGCUAUUUCCAGUUAUUAGCUUCUUCCUAGUUAUUUUAAUUACGAGAUGUUACAAUAUCUCUCCCUUGGGAACAAUCGUCCUCGAAUGAGAUUACUCUUACUAGGCUAAGUGUGUAAUAGCAAGUUCAAACAUCCAGCAAGCAAAUGCAACAAACAACAUGCUCACUCAUAAUUUAAAGAGUACUAAGAAGAGAAUUAGUACCUUGGUCUGCUCUUUCUCCGCACUCAAAGAGAUGUGGAUAUAUCUUCUUCAUGUCCUCUUCAGCUUCCCAGGUAGCUUCCUCAAAAAAUUGAUUCCUCCAAAGGACUUUGAUUGAUGCUACCUCUUUUGUUCUUAACUUGCGAACUUGGUGAUCUAGACUUUGAACAGGAAUCUCCUCAUAAGAUAAGCUAUCCUUGAUCUCAAUAUUUUCAGUUGGUAUGAUCAAUGAAGGAUCGCCCAUGCACUUCUUCAACAUGGAAAUGUGAAACACCGGAUGAACCGCGGUUAACUCUUGCGGUAGCUCCAACUCAUAAGCUACAUUGCCAAUCCUCUUGGAUAUUCGAUAAGGUCCAAUAUACCGGGGACUAAGUUUCCCCUUUUUACCAAACCUCAUAACACCCUUCAUGGGUGAAACGUUUAGAUAUACUCAAUCAUCUACUUUGAACUCUAACGCUCUUCUCCUAACAUCAGUGAAGGAUUUCUGGCGAUUCUGCGCCAUUUUCAACCUCUCUUGAAUUACUUUCACCUUCUCCAUAGCUUGAUGAACUAGAUCUAGUCCUAUCAACCCUGCUUCACCAACUUCAAACCAUCCAUUAGGAGAUCUGCAUCUUCUCCCAUAAAGAGCUUUAUAUGGAGCCAUCUGGAUGCUAGAAUGGUAACUAUUGUUGUAAGUGAACUCGAUGAGAGGUAGGUGAUCAUCCCAAUUACCCUUGAAAUCAAUCACGCACUCCCUCAACAUAUCCUCUAAAGUCUGGAUAGUGCGCUCUUCUUGCCCAUCUGUCUGAGGAUGAAAUGUGGUACUUAAGUUCACCUCUGAACCCAAACCUUUUUGGAAUGUCCAAAACUGUGCAGUAAAUUGCGCACCUCUGUCUGAAAUAAUGGAGACCGGGACUCCAUGAAGUUUUAGCACCUCCUGAAUAUACAACCUGUCAUAAUCUUCUGGUGAAUGAGUAGUCUUCACCGAUAAAAAGUGGGUUGAUUUUGUCAUUCUGUUGACAAUCACCCAAAUAGAAUCAUGCUGCCUGCGAGACCUUGGUAAACCUGUGAUGAAAUACAUAUUAAUCAUCUCCCACUUCCAUUUUGAAAGUUCAGUAUUCUGAGCCAAGCCACCGGGCCUUUGGUACUCUACUUUAACUUGUUGGCAAUUUGAGCACUUAGCAACAAAUUCUGCAAUGCCCUUCUUCAUACUAUUCCACCAAUACAACUCCUUCAAAUCACGAUACAUCUUUGUGGAACCACGAAGAAUGGAAUAUCUGGAGCUAUGAACUUUCUCCAUGAUCCCUUCUUGGAGUCCAUCCACCAUUGGUACACACAAUCUACUUUGAUAUCUCAGUACGCCAUCUCCCCAUUGUUCAAAGGCUAAUACUUUUUGCUUAUGAACAUUUGCCUUCAAUUCAGGCAAAAUAGGGUCUUGGUCUUUGCUUGCCUUUUACUUCUGACACUAAUGAUGAUUCAGCUCCAUUCAUCACCACUAUUCCUCUUUUUGAGGAAUCCAUGAGUCUUGACUCCCAAGCGUGCAAGUCUAUGCACAUCUUUUUCUAACUCUUUUUUUUCUUCCUCAACAUGGGCGGUACUACCCAUAGACAACCUGUUUAAGACAUUAGCAACAACAUUAGCCUUACCUGGGUGGUAAAGAAUACUCAUGUCAUAAUCUUUGAGUAAUUCUAACCACCUCUUCAGUCUGAGAUUGAGUUCUUUCUGAGUAAACACAUACUGGAGACUCUUGUGAUCAGUGAAUACAUCAACAUGAACACCAUACAAUUAAUGACGCCAUAUCUUCAAAGCGAAUGCUAUAGCAGCCAACUCUAAGUCAUGCGUUGGGUAGUUCUUCUCAUGAACUUUCAACUGUCUGGAGGCAUAAGCUAUAACCUUGUCAUUCUACAUUAAUACACAACCCAAACCAACUCUAGAUGCAUCACAAUACACCACAAAACCUUGUGUACAUUCUGGUAAGGUCAAUACUGGGGCAGUAGUUAACCUCUUUUUCAAUUCCUAAAAGCUUUUCUCACAAGCUUCAGACGAUUGAAACUUAACUGUCUUCUGAGUCAAUUUGGUCAAAGGGGACGAAAUAGACGGGAACCCCUUUAUGAACCUUCUAUAAUAUCCAGCCAAGCCCAAGAAAAUCCUAAUAUCAGUUGGAGAUGUGGGUCUAGGCUAACUCUGCACUGUCUCUAUCUUUUGGGUAUCGACUCUAAUUCCAUCACCGGAAACUAUGUGGCCCAAGAACGCCACAGACUCAAGCCAAAACUCACAUUUCGAGAACUUAGCAUACAACUCCUUAUUUUUCAAAGUCUUAAGAACUAUUCUGAGAUGGCUAGCAUGAUCUUCUUCAUUCCUUGAAUAGAUUAGUAUGUCAUCAAUGAAGAUGAUAACAAACAUAUCUAAAUAAGGUUUGAAGACUUUAUUCAUAAGGUCCAUGAACGUUGCGGGUGCAUUAGUCAAACCAAACGACAUAACCAGAAACUUAUAAUGACUAUAACGGGUCCUGAAUGCUGUCUUUGGAAUAUCACAAUCCCUUACUUUCAACUUAUGGUAGCCAGAUCUAAGGUUUAUCUUCAAAAAAUAAGAAGCACCCUGAAGCUGAUCGAAAAGAUCAUCAAUUCUUAGAAGAGGAUACUUGUUCUUGAUGGUAACCUUGUUCAACUGACGGUGAUCAAUACACAUCCUAAGGGAAUCCUCUUUCUUUCUCACAAAUAAGACCGGAGCGCCCCAAGGUGAGACACUUGGUCGAAUAAAACCUUUAUCUAGGAGAUCAUUUAACUACUCUUUAAGCUCUUUCAACUCUGUUAGUGCCAUUCUAUAUGGUGGAAUAGAGAUAGGACGAGUAUUUGGAAGAAUAUCUAUACCAAAGUCUAUCUCUCUCUCGGGAGGGACUCCGGAAAGAUCAUCUGGAAAGACUUCUAGAAACUCUUUUACUAUAGGAACUGACUAAAUAAGAGGUAUCUCAACACUAUAGUCAUUAGCUCGGACUAAGUGAUAGACACACCCUUAGAAACUAACUUCCAUGCCUUAAGGUACGAAAUGAAAUGACCCUUAGGCACUGUUGAACUGCUUUUCCACUCUAAGACUGGCUCAUUUGGAAACUGGAACUUGACAACUCGAGUUCUACAAUCAACAGAGGUAUAACAGGUAUGGAGUCAGUCUAUACCAAGAAUGACAUAAAAAUCUACCAUGUCUAACUUAAUUAAAUUAUCCAUGGUACAUUUGUGAUUGACGGAAAUGGGACAAUCACGAUAAACUCUCUCUGCUAGAAUGGACUCACCAACAGGUGUAGAAACACUGAAUGGUUCACUAAGUUGCUCAGGAAUAACAUCAAAAUUCAUAGCAAUAUAUGGAGUUACAAAGGACAAACUAGCUCCUGGGUCUAGCAAAGCAUAAACUGUAAAGUUAAAGACUUGGAUCAUACCAGUGACAACAUCUGGCAAAUUCUUUUGCUCUUGGCGACUGCUGAUAGCAUAUAAGCGGUUUGUUCCUCUGUCAGUACCGGAAGUAGUCCCUCUAGGUGCAGUUCUGUCUGGUGGAACAACUGAAGAAGACUGGGCUUUGUUGCCCCCAUUACCAUUACGUUGCAUGUUCUUUGGACACUCUCACAUGAAAUGCCCAUUCUGAACACACUUGAAACAACCAGUGGAGACCUCAUGAAAAGUACCUGAGUGGUUCCUACCACACUUGGCGCAUGCAGGAGGCUUACUACCCCCUUAUGCCAUGCUACCCUGAGAAUAAGCAGGUUUAGCUCUAAAAUUCUGACUAUUGUACUCACAUUUGUUCUUAGGUGCAGGCGCACUAGCAAAUGAUGGAGCAGCUCCCUUCUGUUUCUGUUGGAAGGAUGACCGGUUGGCACUACUCUUCUACUGCCCAGACUCAUUCCCUGUCUUAGCCCUCUUGUUCUUAAACUCUUCUCUAUCCCUUAGCUUCUCUUCCUCAACCUACUGCACAUAUACCAUUAACCUCGAUAUGUCCAUGUCCCCAAUUAGCAUUGCAGCCCUACCUUCCUUACUCGACAGACGAGACAACCCAGCAACAAACAAGCUCAUUCUACUCCUCAUGUUCGCAACCAUCUCCGAAGCAUAAUGGGAUAGUUGGGUGAACUUCAACCCAUACUCAUGAACACUUAGCGACUCCUGUUUAAGGGUAAGAAAUUCUCGUACCUUAACCUCCUUCAGUUCUCGGGGAAAGAAACUCCUCAAGAAAGCCUCCUCAAAAUAGGCCCAACUCGCAGGUGGUGCAUCCUCAGCUCUAUCCUCUUUCCACUGAUCAAACAGGUUCUAACAAAAUUCUUCAGUUGAUAUGCAGCCAGCUCAACUCUCCCAGUAUCAGAAACAUGCAUCACAUCGAAUACUUUUUUCAGUUCCUCAAUAAAGUUCUCUGGAUCCUCAGUAGUGCUUGAACCAAUGAAGCUUGGAGGAUUCAUCCUUAAGAACUCUCUAAUCCUUGAAGUGUCAGCUCCUUCCUAUCGAGCUCCCCUUUGCUUCCCAACCUGGUUAGUCACAGCCUGACUUAGCAUCCUGAUUGUUUCCCUGAAUUCAGCAUUGGUAACUUCUCCUUAAGGUUGCACUUCAGGUGCAUUUGGUAACUCUUGUUCCUCAACAUUGCGUCUAGCAGGACGACCUCUGACAGCUCUUCAUGGAGGUUUGAUUAUGUGAAAACACGUGUAAGCACGAAUUAGAAGGAGCCUUUUAGAGAUCAAACUCUAACGCACGAAAUGAUUGUGAAAGAAGUGAGAAGUUUUCCAAAGUUUUGCAGCCUCCUAAUUAUAGAUGUGGCGUGCUUGACACAGAUAACUAGGACUCUACAGACACGACUUUAUAGACUCCCUAGGACUCUUGAACUCUGUGAUUUGAUACCAAGUUUGUCACGCCUUGAGCCUACACCCUGGGUGAGACUGGCACUAGAGAACCAUUGCUGGCCCAAGUGAACCCCUGGCCUGGCAUACUUACUCAGUGGAAGACUUAAACUCAACAAAAAAAAAUAGGUUUAUAUAAUAAAGUAGAAUGUUAUAAAAGAACAUUUAACUGGCCAUUAAGGCAACUCAAGUCUUAACAUGGAAUAAUGAAAAUAAAAAGACUAAAGAACUAACAUUUGACUAUCUAUCCUAGUUACUUGUAUCUACAUCAUAAGACGAUGCAGGCCAAUUGGCACCAGUACAUUGAAUGUACGAGUAUGCGAGUUGGAAUGCUAAAACAACAUAGGCUUGAGAAGAAUCUAAAAGAAACUGAAGAACUUACCUAGCUCAACUCAACUCAACAUAACUAAACUCAUUUCAAUAUAAGGAAGUUUAAUACAAGUGCAAUAUAAAGAAAAGCUGGUGAAAACAUCAUAUCAACUUUGUGUGUAUGCAAGGAUACAACAAAACUCUGAAAUGUAUGUGAAAAUACAUUAAACGGUGUAUAUAAGAAUAUAAUUACUGAUUUGGGAGGUUCUCUAACCGACAGCCAUCACGUAAGAGCUAUUAUGAUAAUAAAACAUUUUGUCUCACGCUGCCAGGGCUGUCCUAUACCUUGCCGAGGGUAUAGAACCUGAACUACUAAGUGCAUUCACUAGUCUAUGCUAAAAAUCACUAAGGGUUCAUCUAAAAAGUAUGACCCUUUUAUACCCAUGAUGGCUACAUGGUUUAUGGGGGCUGUGUGUUCUCUGAACGCUCCCCCAUAUCAGUGCUUAAUACUACUCCCAAAAUAUGAUAUGAUAUUAACUCAUAUAUUUUUUUUAAAAAAACAAUUCUUCUGUGAAUUGAGAUUAGUGCUCAAAAACAUUGCUCAAAGGCAAUCUUAGAAAUCAAAGUUUCCCUUCUGUCUUCAUUUAGAAAGCAAUUUCUCUUCUCUGAAAACUAGCCCGAAGGCUCAUUGGAAAUCGAGGUUUCCUUUCUUGUUUAAAUGUGAAAACAUUUUAUUCCUUUGGGAAUACAUAGUCCCCAUAUAACUUUGAAGAAAUGAACUUCAAGAUUUACUCUUUACUGAAUUCAAAACUUAAGUCUUAAAACAAAGUUAAAAUGUUUGCAAAAGACUUUGGGAAAACUUUAAGAACUUCUCUAGACUUUGAUCUUAACUGCUCUUGACUUGACUCUUUACUGGUCGUUGAAUUGAAUUAUGGAUUCAAGGAUUUUGAUUUGUGAUAGGAAGGAUCACAUGAUGUUUAGGAAUUAUCUUAAAUAGCUAAACAUGAGAAAAGUCACGAAAUCACCGUCUUGGAACAAGUCUGCGACGCGGAGGUGUUUUAAAUAAUAACUCGCAAAAUUAAAUUUUGAGACAGAGGAGUCCGCAUCUUAACCUCGACACAGAGAAACUCUUUGGCUACUGGGGGAGCAAGUCCACGACGCAGACUCACGUGCCAGAUCACGCUCGACUUUUUCCUUUUUCGUUUUACAACACCAAUUCACCUAAACUCGAUUAUCAUUCUCAAAUUCAUUUUAGAUUUCGAUACCCAUCAUAUGUACUCAAGAACCUAACUCAAAACAACUCUAAAACUCAACGUAAAGAUCUCAGAAACUCCUCAAUUCUGCCCAAUUCAAGAACAACAUUCAAAUUCAAGAAUACAUGUCAAGAACAUCAAAUUUCAAACUCUUUUAGGACGAAUUUUGCUGAACUAAACAUGUUUGGCAAGUGGGUGAAUGAACCCAAUGCUAUGAAAGACUCACAUACCUUGUAAGAAGAAUUCCUUGGCGAAUUCACAACCAAAAUCGAUCGUUCUUGGCGAACCUUGAGCUUUUCCUCUCCUUUCUCCUCUUUUUCUCUUUUCUCCAAGCCCUAGCGUGAAUUUCCAAUUGACUAAACUGAUCUCAUUCUGAUUUGAUCCCUUAAUUAAUUCACUAAAACGAAUUAAAUUAAUUGGGUAAGGAAAAGACUAAUCUACCCUUCAAAAAUCCGGAUUAGACUUUCCUUAACCACACAUCCCAACAUCCAAAGGGCGUAAUUCACUCAUACAAACUCAGAAUCAUGCAAACUCAGUAGCGUUGGAAAGAUUAUUCCAAUAUCUUUCCAACCAUAUCUGGAAGUACAGCUAACUCAUCCAGAACUAGAAGUUAUGGUCGUUUGAAGUUGACCGAAACUCAACUUUUCCUAACUUAAACAAUUUUUUCAGAUUUUCAUUUCCAAAAAUAGCUAUUUCCAAUUAUUAGCUUCUUCCUAGUUAUUUCAAUUGCGAGAUGCUACAGUGGGGAAGAUCGGGAAUGAGGCGAUGGAGGUUGAAGAUGAUAAAGGUCAUUGUCAAGUGUUCCUCGAAGCAGUUUCCUGCCCUACAAAUCCUUCACAUAACAAACAUAAGGAUGAAAUUCCAUGUAGACAUUGUUAUGGCGAGUUAAUUUAGCAACACUAAAUAAAUUUUUGGAAAUUUGUGAGGCAUGGAGAAUAUUAUUAAGAUGAAUGGGUUGUGUGUGUAGACAGAAUUGAUGAGCUAGUAUGCGAAAUGGGAAUUUUCAUACCAUUACCAACCGCUAAACCAUCUUUGCUGGUGUAAGUUUGUAAGGAGAUAUUAGCCAUGUCUGAGGUCACAUGAUGUGUAGCACCCGAAUCAAAGCACUAGGUCGCAGGAUCAACAAUAGCUGAAGGAGAAGCAAGAUGUGCUUGUUAUGGGAAUUGAUCGUGGCGGUGUUUUCCUUGUUGGUGGAAAAUCAUUUUCAUUGGAGCGAUUAUAGCAAUUACGAGCAUCGUGAUUAUUUUUACCACAUAUUUGACAUUGCGCACGUCAUUUGGACUAACGAUUAUUGGAUAGAGAGGAAUGUGAAUAUUGUUGAGGUACCAUAGACUAAGCGUGAUUAUGAGAAUUAUGAGCAAGGUAAUUAGAGAAUGGGGGAGGGCCAAGAAUGGAUGAUUGGUUUACGUUAAUGGGGGAGGGCCAAGAAUGGAUGAUUUGUUUAUGUUAAUGGGUGGAGCGGGGUGAAGAAAGGAUGAAUUGUAUGUUAACAGUGCAUGAGAAGGAGCAACGCCGAAUUGAGUAUUAAUAGUGGUAGAACGAAGUUCUUCGGCUAAGCGUUCUUCUUCUUGAAGAAGAAGGCCAAAUAGUUCUUCAGGAGUGAUAGUACCAGAAUGCAUAUUAAGCGCAGCCUUGAAAAUUCCAAACAAAGAAUCAAGUCUAUUAUGAAUAAAUGAGAUGAAGUCAUCAUCUUGUACAAAGUACAAGCUUUCUGCUAGAGAAUCGACAAUUGCGUGUUUCUUCUCAAAGUACUCUAGAAUGGAGAGAUUACCUUUAGAAAGAUUUUGAAGUUGAGAUUUUAAUUGCAUGACUCGAGUACGUGUUUGUGAUUGAAACAUCCGCUCAAUUUUUGUCCAAGCAUCAUAGGAAGAGGAGGCUCGAGUUAAGUGACCAAGAAGAGGAUCAGAAAUUAUUUGACGAAGCCAAACGAGAAUAAGAAGAUCGCUGCGUCACCAUUCCUCAUAAGCAGGGUUAGAAGUGAUUUCUGGUUGUGCUUGGGUGGUAGAGGAUUCUGUAGCAGUAGUGAUUGAAGUUGGGGUGACAAUAAUAGUUUUUGUAGGAGAAUUAGAACGAAGAACAAAUGAGUCAAGAGAAAAAGCUUUGAGUAUGUCCAAAGUAUUUUCUUUCCAAAGAGAAUAAUUAUUUCUGUCAAGUUUGAGAGAAAGGUUUGGUAGUUGAAUAAUGGAGGAAGCGGUGGGUUGUUUUGCAAGUGACAACAGAUUUCCAGAAUUUUGAGAAGUGGCCAUAGGACCGAUGGGCAAAUCUGAUACCAUAAUAAGAUUAAGAACAAGAGGAAUUUGAGAAAAUAAACGCAGAUUGAUUGUUCUGCCGUUUGCACCUUUUAUUUAUAGACUUUGUACAUGUUUAUGAUAAGAAUCUUUAUCUACUACGUAUUCUAAAGGAAGAGUAAUCCUUUUGUUACAAUGAAUAAGCUACAAUAAUCGAAUUCUAGUUGAUGAUGGACUCUAAUAGUCCCCAUUGGAACUUUGGUAGCAACCAUCUCCAUCAGUAUAUUUCGGAUCUCAGUGAGUUCCUUAGAGAAGGAAUCCUUCACUUCCUUAAUCGAAUCAUCCAUAUGAGCCUUGAGUAUUUUGUAGUCCUGCAUGAGUGACCUCUGGAUGGAAGCACCAAUGCAACAAACUAGAGAAAAAUAUUCACAAAUAAAGGUGGAUUGUAUUAUAACAUUAAUUGAAAUACAAGAUUGGAAAAGAAAUAUCAAUGAAACAGUAACAAGGAAAGAAGGAAGGAUCUGAGAAAACAGAGAAACAGAGAGAUGAGAUAUCCAGACUGAAAUUACAAUUGCCUAACUAAUACAGAUGCCUACGUUUGUUAUUUAUCAAAUUUGGCACUUCACGAACUCCACUUUCUUCCCUUUGUCCACGUUCUCGUCACCCUGUUCCCACUAUGAAUCCAGUUAACCUUGUUGAAGGGUUUCUCACGUGCUUACUUUUUUUCAAAACUGUACUCUCCUGCUGAGUGUGUGUCUCCACGGUGGCUGCUGAUGUGUCCUCCAAGUCAGCUUGUCGGGUCACAACACAAACUAUUAGAAUAAUUCUCUCAGACAUUUAGUUGAUUUUGGUUGGACACAAGAGGUACUUAAUUGAUAACAUCACAUGGUACAUGAUGAAAAAUAAUGUAUAAUAGAAUAAAUAGGAAAUAUUUCAUUAUUAUUGUGUCAAAAUUAAAUACACAUAAAAUUCGAGCAAAUUUCAUAACAUUGGAAUCAAGUAUUAUAUAAUCAUAAAAAAUAAAUUAUACAAUAAAAAUUAAAUGGUACCGCUUGCGAAAAUUCAAUUCACGAAAAGGAAACAAUCCUAAUAAAGAAUCACGAAAGUGAACCUCGACUCAACCUUUGUUUGUAAAUAGAAAAAAAUAUAUAUAUAAUAUGUGAGGGUGAAUUUUUUUCUUUCCGUAUCUAGGUAGUAUUUUGGUGUUGUGUGUGUGGGUUGCUUUUUUUCCUUUUUCCGUGGGUCUGUGAGUAUGUUUGCUGAUUUUUUUUCUUUUUCAGAGGAUACGUGAUUGGAGGGAGUAUUGUGCAGGUUGUGGAAGGAAUAGAAGAUUUGUAUUGUAUGUGUUGUAUUGGAGAGUAAGGUUUUUCUUUUUUAAAUAAAUGACGAUGAUCAAGAUGAACAACAUUCGAAAACAAGCGAAACAUAUACAGAACUUUUAGCAAACAUAGAUAAUACAAAUAAUUUAGAAAUAAAUACAUGAGAUGUAGACAUGGAUAGAAAAACCUAGCACAUCAGGAGUAGAAAGAACCCAAAAAAAUCUAAAUACCAAAAUAUUAUAAUGAAAACUAUGAACAAUAUAAUAGAGAAAAAACUACAUGGGAUAAAAAAUUAAAUAAAAGAUGGACGCCUAAACCAAUAACUGGACAACAUGAUUUUUUAGAUUUAGACUGUGUAGCAGAUAUAAAGGAAUUAAAGAAAUGUUUUUAUUGUUUAUGUUGUUUUUUGUACGUAUGUGUAGUGUGUGUUUAGGAUCAUUUUUCUUCUUUUUGUUUUUGCUCUGUGUCCUCUUGUGUAGUAUGUAGUAUAUGGGUGUAGGGGUGAAUUGUGUGUUGUGCUCAUUCAAGGUGUUUGAAACCCAUUAAAAAAGUCUAACCUCUAACAUGUCUAGAUGAGUAGGCUUUGGGCAGAGAAAGAAGUCAUCUUGGCAAGAUCGUCCGCAAGUUGGUUCCCUUCUCUAAAACAAUGGAUCGCUUGAAUUCCAAAUUUGUUCUUGAUGUUGUUAAUAGUAUUAAUAACUUAUUUUAGCUUCAGAUUUGUGCCCGAGUUUGUGAUUAGCAUGUUGGCUAUGAUCAUUGAAUCAAGCUCAAAAAUCAGCAUACCCAUAUUGAUAGCACCAUUUUACACCAAACUAAGCUACCAAAGACUCAGCCAUGUUACUAUUAUUACAGUUGACAGAAAUGGAGAAAGCCAUGAUCAAGUCUCCCUAGUCCGUGACUAUCUUUUACAGUUCUCCCAAUGCCAGCCUUUCUAGUUUCAUGCAAAUAGCUACUAUCUACAUUAAUUUUUAUAGAGCUAACUGGUGGAGAACUCCAUAUGAAUUGCUUCCAUCUCUGAUAUGGUCUAACGUUCAUAAACGGCUAAUAGAUGAGCAUCCUAACAUGCUCCACCUGGAUGGAGCUGUCGGGAGGCCAUCUAUUAUGACCCGAGACUACCCGGCUUAGUCGUAAUACAUUGCUUAGAGCUAUAAGUAACCCCAAGCUAACACAUGGACUAGCAUGACACUAAAAAAUACAUAGAUAGAGCUGAAAUACAGAUGUGGAAGCUAAAUAAUACAACUGAAUGGAAUAUAAAAGUUGUCCUCUAUAGAUGAUGACUCACCAAUAAUACUACUAAGCUGAUAUGAAGUCGUACUAACCGCGGUCUGAGUGCUGAAUGUCUGAACCUAUAUUAUCAAACAAUAUAAGUGUUGAACGUCUGAACCUAUAUUAUCAAACAACUAUCGCUGAAUCUCUUGUUUACCGGAUGAUUCCCCCGACUGGAAGAGAAGCUAUGAUCACUGCUCCAACACCACCGGUGGCAGCUUUAAAUAGCUACAGGGCAGCUCAGUUGCAUGAUGGAAUACAUCUCGCUAAUUAUUCUAAGAGACGCCAAAUGCCCAUGGCUUACUAGUUGGUGCAACUUUUUAUGUAGAUAUUAGUUAAUUACACUACCUACACUUGUAAGUCCUGGUUUUGCUCUUAGCAGAAUUUUGUAGCAAAACCAUAGUUAUAUGUACGUAUGUGUUGUAUUCUCAAUGUAAUAAAAGCUCUUCUUGUAUAUGUAUCUUUAUAACUCUAUAACUUUAUCUAUAAUGUACACAUCUAUUUAGGAGCGGCUCAAGCAUAUUUGUGGACUAAAACAAAAAUCAAACGAGGCCUAAGGCACAUGUCUUUAUUUUAACACUGUCGAGUGCCCCCUGCAUCUAUACUAAUUACAUGCAUAAAUAUAUUACUCUCCUAUUUCAAUUUAUAUGAUAUUUUAAAAAAAUAAAAUUUUCCCAGAUUAUAUCUGAAUGGUGUUGUAUUAGCAAAAAAAAAAGGCAGAGGAGGGGCUCAAUACAACACAAAAUCCAAAGGUGAAGCAAUCACCCAACAAUCACCAUUAGUCUUACAAAAGAAUACAAUGCCUUCUGGUUAAGCAAAAAAGAAACACGACAGCUUACACAAAAAUUGGCUUUAUCAUAUUUGCACCUAAGGUUAGGUAAUUUUCAUUUAUCCAAAAGAAAAAACCUUAAGCAUGUCUAGGAAGAUGAGCAAAGUCCUGAGUGAGUAGGCUUUGGGUAGAGAAACAAGUCAUUUUGGCCAUUUUGGCAAGGUAGUCAACACGUUGGUUCCCUUCUCCAAAACAAUGACUCACUUGAAUUCCAACUCUGUUCUUGAUGAUGUUAAUGAUAUCAGUAACUUGUUUUAGCUUCAGAUUUGUGCCCGAGUUGUUGAUUAGCAUUUUGUCAAUGAUCAUUGAAUAAAGUUCAAAAAUAAAAUCAGUGUACCCAUAUUGAUAGCAAGCACCAUUUUACACUAAGGGUGUGUUUGGUAUGAAGGAAAAUGUUUUUCAUGGAAAAUGUUUUCCCGGAAAACAAGUUGAUUUUUGACUUAUUCUAUCAUGUUUGGUUGGUGAGUAGAAAAUAUUUUUCGGAAAAGAUUUUUAGUGUUUGAUUUACGAAUGAAAAAUAUUUUUGAGAAAUAUCUUUUUAUUUUUACUAGCGUAGAAAAUAAUUUUUGAAAUUGAAAAUAUUUUUUAAAAACAAACUUAAAUUCUUUUUGCGGGGGGGUGGUAGGGGUGGGUGAGGGGGGUCGAGGAUAGUGGUGAAAAUAUUUUUUAAAAACAAUCUUUAAAUUUUUUGGGGGGGGCUGGUUGGGGGGCUGGUUUGAGGGUAGAGACAAUAAAUUGAUUUUUUCAACAAAAAUGUAAUUGUAAUUUAAAGUUGGAAGAGAGUUUGGGAAAAUGUUUUUUCUUAAGUUUUGAAAGGAAGUCAUUUUCCUUAAAUUUGAGGAAAAUGAGUUGAUUUGGAAAAUGUUGGAAUGUAUGCGUCCACUAGUCUAGAUCGGACCAGGUCCUCAGCACAGUUACAAUAACAGAAAAUAAACAAAGUGCUAAAAGUAAAGAUUGCACAACAACUUUACGUGGAAACCUCCUUGCUCAAGGGAGUAAAACCACGACCUGGCCUGCCAAGACUUUUCAAACUGCUUCCACUAAUCUUCUCAAAGCAAAAGUAAAAGUCAGUUUACAAAAUGAGAUUAACCUACUAAUCUUCCACACUAAGCAAUAUAUCCUAUUACUUAGACGAGCCUAAGCAGAUACAACACUUCCCACUAAGUUAUCACCCCUAGAUAACUUAGACUUAGCUAAGCGGAUACCACACCGCCCACUAAAUCAACUAGCUCCUAGAUGACUUAGACUUUGACUGAGCAGAUACAACACUGCUCACUAAAUCGGCUAACUCUAACCGACUUAGACCUUUCCACACAGAAACAAAUAUCUAAAUCCUUUAUAGACUAGGAAAAGAUUUACAAUAUACGCACAGAAGUAUAACUCCUAAGACACACUCGGAUCCUUGCAGCUUGAUCAAGUCCUUGUUGUGCUUGCUGGAGAAUACUUCACCAAAAUGGUCUUUGCUUGAAUACUUAAUAAGUUUCAAGAUGCAAAAACCUAUAAAAUGAUAGACACAAAACUCAAACUCAACAAAGAUGCUUCAGCCCUUUAUCAGAUUCUUUUGUUGAGUGUAAGUAUCGUUCUACCUUGAAGAUGGCCUUUUCCUUUUAAGCUUGUGAGUUUUUGUUUGCCAAAAUCUUGAGUUUGUGUUUUGUGUUAAGAGAUUAUAUAAAAAAGAACACAAACUCCUUGGGACCGCCCAUUGGCUCAGAGCCUGCCUCUCUGGAAGGACGUGCACAUACCACAUCAGUAGUGGUAGCUUUUCUGACAGCUGUCUUGUCGUCCUUUCACAUCGCAAUCUUGCAGGGACCAGGUCCCUUUCAAACUUCUCUUGGAAGUUCUUGAGAAUAUGUGCUGGUUCUCACCUUUUGAAUGAAUGAAUUAGUUUAUUGUUUUUCCUUGGAUAUAUUUAGACAUGAAAAGUUAUUAUCCAAUGAACAAGCAACCUCGUCGCUUCUGAUUGGUGGAGUACUCUGUAGCUUCACCAACCUUCUGACGCAAACAACUUUCCAGUUGUACAGCACUCUGACCACUGGAUGAGUAUUCAUACUCUACAGAGGACCAGGUCCCUGCACUUGUGAGGAGAUCAUCAAAACAUCAAGAAGCCUAAGCACUUAUCAAUUUCCCCCUUUUUGAUGAUGACAAACAACCUGCAUAACUCCUCCCAUAAGUGAACAAACAUUCAUUCAAUAACUGGUGUUCCCCCUUAAUUAGUGUCCCUGCACUUGUGAGGAGAUCAUUAAAACAUCUAGGAACAUAAGCACUUAUCAAUCUCAUACUCUGCAGAGGACCAGGUCCCUGCACUUGUUAGGAGAUUAGCAAAACAUGAAGGAACAUAAGAACUUAUCAAUUUCCCCUUUUUUUUAUGAUGACAAACAACCUGCAUAACUCCUCACUUGAGUGAACAAACAUUCAUUCAAAUACAUAACAAAUUCCCCCAGUGUUAGUGCACCAGUAAUAACCACAGUUCGUUCCCCCUUAGUUCAAUGCCCCUAACAACCACAGUUCCUCCUUAGUUCAGUGCCCCUAUUCCACAACCAACUUUACAACAAAACUUCCCCCUUUUGACAUUAUUGAAAAGGUGAAGCAGUAAACAUAUUCAAGUUAAAUGCAAGGCAAUAAAGAAUUCAGGGCCUUGGGCCACACAGAACAUGUGUAUGUAAGCAUAAAGAGAAUAUUAAGCCACACAUGAAUAGGGGAGAAACAUAAAUAGUAUUAGAUCACAAAUACUGAUCACUGUAGUCAGUCAAAACAAACACAAAGCCACAAUAUUUUUAAUCAGGAUUGAAGAACAAAGAGGGAAACUAGGGAAACAAGACACUUUUAGGACGGAGGGGGAAAGGGAUUGAGGGUGCGCAUAAACAGAGACAGACGCUCAUUUGCAUCCUCAUGAGCCUUAAUAAGUUGCAUGUUGAGAGCCUUAACUUCCUCACUAGGUGAGGCAUUUGUCUUCAGCAGCCUUUCAUUUUCAUCCCUCAACUUUUGCAACACCUGCUCAUUUCCAUCGCUGGUACCAGGUCCCCUCGAAACCGCCUACUGUAAUUCAGACCUCAGUGAAACGAUUUCAAUCUCCUUGUUAUUCAAAAUCUCAGUAAGAUCAGUCACUUCCCGUUUAAGAGCAGCUUGCUGCUCUAGAACAUCUGUCAGUUGAGAUCUUCCCCUAGCUUUUCCUUCAACACACUCACAUUCCAGCAUAAUGGCAAAGAGGUUGAUCUCUUCAAGUUCAUCAAGCUUCUCCAUGAGAUACAGAUCAGCAGCAAAUGCCACUGUUCCUUUUUUUUUUUAGUUCUGGGCACUAAAACCUGGUUGAUGAACUCAAAAAGCAACUGAUAUUUCCCUUUGAGAAACCUUUUCGGUAACCCUGCAUUCUUGACAUCUCCACAUUUUGUGGCAAGUGCAUCAAAAAGAUUUGAUAUUCCAAAUUUGGUUAGAAUGUUAGGGUCAAAGACUCUGCCAUUCAAAACCUUCUGGUUCUCCAUUGCUGUUAUCCGCUCCUCUCUUGUAAUUUCCUUUUCUUCACUUUUGUUUUUGCACCCUAGGACCUGGUCCCUUUAUGAGUUUUAAUUUUCAGCUACCUGUUUUCUAAGUUUCUCCCUUUUCACAGGAGAUAUCUUUGCAACCUUCUAGAGUAGGAAAGGAGAAGUUGAAUGAACAAGGGUUUUCAACUUCUUGGGAGAUAGGGAUCUUUGAAGAAGAAUUAGAGUUAGAAAUUUUGAGAGAAAAAGAGAAAAGCUUUGGAGAGGGGAUAAGUGAAUUUCAACAAGAAUUUGUUUGAAGAGAUUAUACAAUUUGAUUCACUAAGAGAAGUAGCAUAUAAAACCAAAAAGACAUCAGAUCCCCAACAGUAGCUACCUUUGGUUUAAAAGCAAAAAGACGUUUGAAAAUAACGCGAUGAAUAGGCGAGGGACAUGUGGCAGUGAUGUUGACAUACAGACAGUGUAGCGUACGUGAUACUAACCUCAGGAGGACCAGGUCCCCUUUUUAGUUUGCAACCAUGUCUGUAUGAUUUAAUCUUCCCUUCUUCUAGACACACCAUGAGUGUAUACCUGCAUUAAGGUACCAGAAGUGAAUUCUUAAGUAACAAGCAUUAAAACAAGUAUAGAUACCUGCCCUCCGUAACAUAGUCAAAAUAGAAGUUUUUUAUCCAAACUUUGUCAAGGAAUCAGAUAAUCUUGUGCAUCCCCAGCCUCAUCCUGUUUUUAAUGAAACAUUUUUUACUCAAUGUCUUUGUAAAGAUGUCAGCCAGCUGAUCUUCAGUUUUGCAGAACUUCAUCACCACAUUUUGUUUUUCAACAUUGUCCCUUAGAAAAUGAUGUCUCACGUCUAUGUGCUUUGACCUCUUGUGCUGGACAGGAUUUUUGGCUAUGUUCAUGGCACUAGUGUUAUCACAAAUGAGAGGAAUAGUGUCUGUGAGUACACCAACAUCGACCAGCUGCUGCUUAAUCCAUAGUAGUUGUGCACAACUUGAUGCAGCAGCCACAUACUCUGCCUCUGCAGUAGACAAUGCCACGGAAUUCUGCUUCUUGGUUCCCCAUGAAAUCAAAGUUGAUCCCAAGAAAUGUGCCAUGCCUGAUGUGCUUUUUUCGAUCAACCAGAAAACCUGCAUAAUCAGCAUCAGCAUAACCUAUAAGAUCAAAUGAGUCACCAGUAAGGUAGAAGAGGACCAGGUCCUUAGUUCCCUUCAAGUAUAUCAAGAUAUGUUUGGCUGCCUUCAAGUAAGACUCAUUUGGUGCGGCUUGAAACCUUGCACACAUCCCUACGGUGAACACUAUGUCUGGCCUGCUUGCAGUAAGGUAUAGAGGUGAUCAUAUGAUUCCCAUACAUGGUUUGAUUUACCUCCACACCAUCUUCAUCUAUAUCAAGUUUCACACUUGUGCUCAUAGGAGUAUCCAGCACCUUUGCCUCAGGAAGACUUUGAUAUACUUCUCUUGGCAUAUUGAAAUGCCUUAAGAGGUUUGUUUGAUUUGCAAGCCUAGGAAGAAAGUGAGUUCUCCCAUCAUGCUCAUUUCAAACUCACUGCUCAUCAGAUCAACGAAUUUCUUGCAAAGUAAAUUUGUAGUGGCUCCAAAAAUGAUAUCAUCCACAUAAACCUGCCCAAUCAACAACUCCUUUCCUCAAGCUCUGGGAGCCUGUUUCAAUCCAUACAGAGCCUUGUCUAACUUCAGCACAUGAUUUGGCAGUUCUACAUCUUCAAAGCCUGGGGGAUGUUUGGCAUAUACUUCUUCUUUCAGAUUCCCAUUCAAGAAGGCACUCCUGACAUCCAUUUGAAAAAGCUUGAACUCCAUGUGAGCAGCAAAUGCAAUCAAGAUUCUGAUGGCUUCCAUUCUAGCUACAGGAGCAAAGGUCUCAUCAUAAUUAAUCCCUUCUUCUUGGUUGUAACCCUGUACUACCAGUCUUGACUUAUUUCUAGUAAUGAUCCCAUGCUCAUGAAAUUUGUUUCUAAAGACCCAUAUGUCCCAAUAAUGGUUCUGUCGAGUGGUCUGGGGACCAGGUGCCACACUUUUCUUCUCUCAAACUGAUGAAACUCCUCUUGCAUUUAAGUUACCCAGUUUACUUCAUUCAAGGCUUCCUUGAUGUUCUUGGGUUCAAUGGAUGAUAUAAAGGUUGAAUAUGCAACUAGAUUUCUUGUCCUGGAUCUAAUUUGAAUUCCAGAGUCAAGUGGGAAUAUGAGAUUGUCCAGUGGAUGAGAAGAUUGAUGUUUCCAUAUGGACAUUUUACUCGACUCUUCUUCUACAUCAACAUCAGAUUCAGUAUCAGAUUCAAUAUCAUUAUCUUCUGGACUUUGAAAAGGAGUCCCCUGGGUAGUGACAGAGGGACCAGGUACUCUUGUGAGAUCUGCACCAUUUUCUUUUGCAACCUGUUGGCUUCCAGGAUUUAGGAUUGCCUUGUUUUCCCUUUCUUUGAUCAGCUCCUAUAUUUCAUGGUCUCCCUUAUGAGCAUCAAUUUUCUCAGACUCAUCAAAAGUCACAUGCAUGCUCUCUUCAAUGCAUUGUUUAUAUACCGGAUAAGCCUUGCUGGAGGAAGAGUAUCCCACAAAUACUCUUUCAACAGCAUUGACAUUACACUUCUCAAUAUCAUCAUUUUGGUCACAAAACAUGUACUAUUCACCAUUUCAGCCCAAAAGUCCUUUGUUAAAUUAACAACCUAUAUAUUCCACUUGAAGGAUGGUCUGAUCUGCUUCCUUUUAACACAAACAUCACAAGCUUUGUCAUCGGUAAAUUUUAUUUUAAGCAUAUCGAGGACCAGGUCCCUUGACACAAAUUUGUGCAGUAGAAAAACAUUUACAAGAGCACGUCUCUCAUGCCAUACCUCAGCAUUCUCACUUUGAUCACUAAGGCAAGUGAGAUUCUCACAACAAGGCAAGUGAGACUGUCACAACGAACAUCAAUCAGAUCAGCAAUACACAUGUUCUUGCAUCUCUUUUCUAUCAAAUCAUCCCUGAGAGAGCAAGUAUGUGACCACAUGUUCUUUCCGAUAAGAACUUAACUUUGUUUCAUUCAUCACAAAUCUAUGAAACACUUAAAAGAUUGUACUUCAACCAUUGACAUAGUACACAUUCUCAAUAGUGUGUUCCAUAGAUUUCCCAAUCAUGCCUUCACAAAAAAAACAUACCUUUUCUGCCAUCGCCAAAUGAGACACCUCCACCUUGAAGUGCCUUGAGAGAGAAGAAGUUUUCAGUUUCCCAGUCACGUGCCUUGAGCAUCCGCAAUUCAUGAAUCAACGCUGACUGCUAUCAACGUUGACUGCUUCUACUUCUUCUCACAAGAAUACCAUAUCACUUGUUAGCCUUGGGAACCCACUUUAGUUGGAGUUCUCAGUAAGCAGAUAAAGGAGUGAUAAGAGAAUUCUUUGUCCAGUGAGGCAGAUUGAUUUUUUUUAACGUAGGAACAAGAGCACGACCAGGUCCCUUCUUCUGCCAGUUCUUCUGUUGUCCAGGUCUCUUCUUCUGCUUGUUGCUCUGUUGACCAGGUCCCUUCUUCUUCUUGUUCAUCUACUUAGAAUAUUUUUAGAGUUUAUCUUGGGUCCUUUUCCAAGUUGGAAAUCCUUUCAAGUGACCAUCCGACCACAAUGGAGACACGGCAAACUAUCAGACAUGGACACAUCUUGCCAUGAAGAUUGUAAGUAAGGACUUUUGCUUGAAUUUCCUAACCCCUUCCUAUCAUUUUGACCUUGACUGGUAAGUUUUGCAAGGAAUUUUGAGGAGUUGGUCCACUUGAGAGAUUCAUUCAGUUCUUCUUUGACACGGACCAGGUCCCUCUCUAACUGAUUAUUUCUCUCCAAGGCCAUAGCAAGUUUUGUUUCAGCAGUAUUCAAACUGGUUUCUAGCUCGAUUUGCAAGUUGUUGGGCUCCCCCUUACCGCUGCCACAUUUCUUACUCAACAUCUUUAAUUUUUCCCUAAGUUCUAGAUUUUCAGCUUCUAGAACCAUCAAUUGUUCUUCCACAACAGACAUUUGGUCAACCAAGGCAACUUUUUCUUCUCGAAGGAUAUCUAGGUUGUUGUUCAUCAGAUCAUUUUCAGUUGUUAACUCAAUGAAAAAGUUAAUCAAAAUAACGACUAGACUUCUUAACUUCUUAACACAAUAAACAUGCAAGUUUUGUUUAAGAUCAGAAAGGGUUACCUCUUCUUCAUAUUCCUCAUCAUUAGAUUUUGCCAAAAAGGCUUCAUCAGAGUGCUCAGAGUCAUCUGAAACACUCGAGGAGUCUUCCCAUGCAGUCAUCUCCCUCUUUACCAUCUGGAAAAAGGUUUCUCUUCUGCUACUGCUGACACGGACCUGGUCCCCCUCUUGGUCUUUUACUUCCUUGUGAUCAACUUCAAGCACAAGACAGCCUCUCAUGGUGUGACCUGGUUGAUCGCGCUUGUAACACAUGCCACUAUAGCUUGUAGCGCUAUCAUGAGCUUCUUCCUUCAUGGAACCUCCACGUUUACUCACAAGUUUUUGAAAUUUUUGAGUGAGAUAGUCCAUGGUCUCAUCUACUUCAAGGUUCUCACAUUGUGACACCUUGGAGGCUACUAAUUCAUACCUUUCUGCAUCUCCCUUCUGAUCAGCAUCCCUAGUCAGAUCUGCCCUUGUUUCCUCAGCUUCAUCAUAGGUAGUUCUCAGCAGAUCCCAAAUUUUUUUAGCUGAUUCGCAUGAAGAAAUCAGAUUAUAUACAUUAGGUUCGAUUCCACACAUUAAGAACUUCUUAGCCUUGUGAUUUUUCUUAACUUUCCGUUUGUCAAAUUCAUUGUAUUGCUGUCGAGUUUUGACAAUGACCCUUGUGACAUCCCCAUAUUUUACUUCUAUAGAUGGCACAUAGGAACCCUCACAAAUAACACCCCACAGCUCACAGUCUUCAGCCAUUAUGAAGUCAAACAUGCAAUGUUUCCACCACCGAUAAUACUGACCAUCAAACAAGGGUGGCCUUGUUGAGGACCGACCUUUUUGCCAUCUCAGUAAAGCAACCAUUCUUUCCAUAGGAAUCUCUCUUGGUGUUAACCAACUAGAUAGCACCCGCUCUGAUACCACUUGUUCGAAUGUAUGCGUCCACUAGUCUAGAUGGGAUCUGGUCCUCAGCACAGUUACAAUAACAGAAAAUAAACGAAGUGCUGAAAGUAAAGAUUGCACAACAACUUUACGUGGAAACCUCCUUGCUCAAGGGAGUAAAACCACGACUUGGCUUGCCAAGACUUUUCAAACUGCUUCCACUAAUCUUCUCAAAGCAAAAGUAAAGCCAGUUUACAAAAUGAGAUUAACCUACUAAUCUCCACACUAAGCAAUAUAUCAUAUUACUUAGACGAGCCUAAGCAGAUACAACACUGCCCACUAAGCUAUAAACCUUAGAUAACUUAGACUUUUCUAAGCAGAUACCACACCACCCACUAAAUCAACUAGCUCCUAGAUGACUUAGACUUUGACUAAGCAGAUAAAACACUGCUCACUAAAUCGGCUAACUCUAACCGACUUAGACCUUUCCACACAGAAACAAAUAUUUGAAUCCUUUAUAGACUAGGAAAAGAUUUACAAUAUACGCACGGAAGUAUAACUCCUAAGACACACUCGGAUGCUUGCAGCUUGAUCAGGUCCUUGUUGUGCUUGUUGGAGAAUACUUCACUAAAAUGGUCUUUGCUUGUAUACUUGAUAAGUUUCAAGAUGCAAAAACCUAUAAAAUGAUAGACACAAAACUCAAACUCAACAAAGAUGCUUCAGCCCUUUAUCAGAUUCUUUUGUUGAGUGUAAGUAUCGUUCUACCUUGAAGAUGGAUUUUUCCUUUUAAGCUUGUGAGUUUUUCUUUUCCAAAAGCUUNNNNNNNNNNNNNNNNNNNNNNNNNNNNNNNNNNNNNNNNNNNNNNNNNNNNNNNNNNNNNNNNNNNNNNNNNNNNNNNNNNNNNNNNNNNNNNNNNNNNNNNNNNNNNNNNNNNNNNNNNNNNNNNNNNNNNNNNNNNNNNNNNNNNNNNNNNNNNNNNNNNNNNNNNNNNNNNNNNNNNNNNNNNNNNNNNNNNNNNNNNNNNNNNNNNNNNNNNNNNNNNNNNNNNNNNNNNNNNNNNNNNNNNNNNNNNNNNNNNNNNNNNNNNNNNNNNNNNNNNNNNNNNNNNNNNNNNNNNNNNNNNNNNNNNNNNNNNNNNNNNNNNNNNNNNNNNNGUCCCUGCACUUGUGAGGAGAUCAUCAAAACAUCAAGAAGCCUAAGCACUUAUCAAUUUCCCCCUUUUUGAUGAUGACAAACAACCUGCAUAACUCCUCCCUUGAGUGAACAAACAUUCAUUCAAUAACUGGUGUUUCCCCUUAUUUAGUGUCCCUGCACUUGUGAGGAGAUCAUCAAAACAUCAAGAAGCCUAAGCACUUAUCAAUUUCCCCCUUUUUGAUGAUGACAAACAACCUGCAUAACUCCUCCCUUGAGUGAACAAACAUUCAUUCAAUAACUGGUGUUUCCCCUUAUUUAGUGUCCCUGCACUUGUGAGGAGAUCAUCAAAAUAUCUAGGAACAUAAGCACUUAUCAAUUUCAUACUAUGCAGAGGACCAGGUUCUUGCACUUGUGAGGAGAUCAUCAAAAUAUCAAGGAACAUAAGAACUUAUCAGAAAACAUUUUCCAAAACAUUUAACACAACCAAAUAUGAGAAAAUUGGAAAACAUAAUGUUUUCCUUCAUACCAAAUACACCCUAAACUUAGCUGCUAAAGACUCAGCCAUGUUACUAUUAUUACAGUUGACAAAAAUCGAGAAAGCCAUGAUCAAGUCUCCCUGACUAUCUUUUACAAUUCCCCAAUGUCGGCCUUUCCAGUUUCAUGCAAAUAGCAGAGAACUCCACUGUGUAACAAAAAGUUGGUUCAGUGAUUGAUGUUUUGCAAAUUUCCAGCUGUUUUUGCCAAAACAAAUUUGAUAUUCCAAAAAAUCUAAUAACUCAUCCUGUUGUUCAGGAAAUAUCUUGACCUCCAUAUUUGCACGCACACCAUUGCUUCCGUAAUUCCGAACAUAUAAUAAUAGGUGUGAUCUUCAACAAAGUUUUAUGGAUAGUAUUCUUUGUUAUUCUUUUUGGUCAAAUCUACAAAAAUGAAACAUUUUCUAAUUUGAAAAAUAUUUAACGACACUAUCAAUAUUAUUUUAUAAAUGUUGGGUAUCAUUUAUUUGACAACAAGUCUACAAAUGUACACUCUUGUAAAUUUAGUUUUGAAAACAUAGGAAAAAUCUUUUCAUAUUUUUUAAACUUCAUAAUAAGUCAAACUACAUUACAUAAAAAUCUCUAGGCUGAGACGUCUAUGCUUAGACUACCAUCCUUGUAUAUUUUACUUUUUGAUGAAUGACGAAUACCUUUAUGAGAACCAACUUCACUCACACAUCGGAUAGGUGUUAUGCACAAAGCCAACUAGUAAAACACGUUCGGGCGACAAACCACUGUGGCUAGAAAAGAUUAAUUAAAAAUUAUAUUCUCUCUCAUCUUUUCUAACAUUUAUAAACGGCUAAUAGAAGUGCGUCCUAACAUGCUCCACCUGGAUGGAUUUGUCAGGAGGCCAUCUGUUAUGAGCCGCCGAGACUAUCCCCUAGUCAUAAUACGGUGCUUAGAGUUAUAAGUAAUCCCAAACUAACACUUGGACUAGCAUGACACUAAGAAAUACAUACAUAGAACUGAAAUACGAAUCUGGAAGCUAAAUCUAAAAUGGGUUUAAUAAACUCAAAACAUCAGCUAUCUAAAUAAACAUAAGUUGAAGCUAAUGUGACCGUUUGAAAGCCUCUAUUAUGAUGAAUUGUUAGUACAAGACCUUAGCUAACUCUAAUUGCCUGAAAAUUAAAAUAAUACAAUUGAAUGGAAUGUAAAGGUUGUCCUCUAUAGAUGAUGACUCACCAAUAAUGCUACUAACCUGAUCUGAAGUCAUACUAACCACAGUCUGAGUGCUGAACGUAUGAAUCUAUAUUAUCAAACAAUAUAGCGCGAGAGUAUGCUAUUAGUACUUUGAAGGUACUGAGUAUAUGUAGGAUAUGGAUGAUAAACAUAAUAAAUAGAUAUGUUGAAUUUGAAAUGUUGUACUGAAUAACAUGAGAUAAUGCAAUGACCAAGUGGUAAAACAUGCAACUGAAAUAACUGACAAGGGCAAUGAAACAUCUAAGAGUGAACUGUGGGACAUACUAUAAACCUACAUAUAAUCACUACAACAAAUUUUAUUAUCAGGGACGAAUAAUUUCGUCAUCUAUAAAUCAUAUUUUGUCACUAAAACUCUUGUGUGACGAAAAAAAUUUCGUCAAACAGUCGUUACUAAACGUGUGUAACUAAAACUAUACAAAGACGAUUUAGUGCUUCAUCACUAAAAAUAUUAUAUUAACUACAAAAAGAAAAAUUGUCCCCAAAUGCAUAAACAUUUGUGAUGAAUUUAUUUGUCGUAAAAAGUGUAACUUUUUUGUAGUUAAUAGUAUGUUUUGUCACUAAAAAUAUUAUUAUUAGUGACAAAAUUAAAUCAUCACUAAUUAUUUUUUUCAAUCAGUGACGCCAUCAAAUGUCUCUAAAACUAUAUGUAUUUCGUAGUUAAAACAAUAUAAUAUCGUCACUAGUGACUACUUUUUAUAUACAAAAAAUUAUAUUGUCCUUAAAUUUAUUAUUAUAAAAAAGGUUAAUAAUUUUGUGAUUAAAUAUAUCAUUUUGUCACUAAAAGUGUUGCUUUUAUCGACGACAUAUAUUUUCACUAAAUAUUAUCAUAAGUAGUGACAAUUAUAAUUGUCACAAAAAAAUAAUUCAUAUUCAAUAAAAAGGGGUACUAGUACAAUACAUUUUGUGUCACUGAAUGUAAUCAACUAUGAUGAAUUAAUUUAAUUCAUGAAAAAUUUAUUUGUCUUAAAAUUCACCCAUGAUCAUAUAAUAAAAACAACUAAAAUUAUACUAAAUUAAUAAUAUCUCAUUACAAACUCCUAAAAUAAAAGUAAAAUAUGUCCAAUGACUAGAAAAUCAAACCAAAAAUAUACUAAAUAUUACUCCUAAACAAAGAUAUAUAAGU
rnacentral:lncRNA from 1 species